rnacentral:rRNA from 1 species
GUGUCAGCAGCCGCGGUAAAACGUAGGAGGCGAGCGUUAUCCGGAUUUACUGGGUGUAAAGCGCGUGCAGGCGGAUCGGAAAGUUGGAUGUGAAAGCUCCCGGCUUAACUGGGAGAGGUCGUUCAAAACUACCGGUCUUGAGUACAGUAGAGGGAAGUGGAAUUCCGGGUGUAGUGGUGAAAAGAGUGAAUAUCCGGAGAAACACGAGUGGCGAAAGCGGCUUUCUGGA